ensembl:miRNA gmo-mir-125b-2 gmo-mir-125b-2
UCCCUGAGACCCUAACUUGUGAGCUCUCUUGGUAAAAUAUCACGGGUUAGGCUCUUGGGA